GCAUUUGCCAUCCGAUUUCCACAAACUGAAACCAUGAAAUACGUGCUGGUCGGCCUUAUUGCUUGCAUGUUGCUUGUCGGAGCGACGGCCAAAGGCGGCGGCAAAGGCGGUAAAGGCGGCAGCAGUUCCGGACGCUGCGUCUCCUGCAAAGAAAUAUACAGACCAGUUUGCGGCAAGAACAGCAAGGGCCUAACGCGCACCUUUACCAACCAAUGCUAUUUGAAACGCGAAAACUGCCUUUUCAAAAAUGAUUUCGUCGAGCAGAAAAAGGGUAAAUGUUAACAACACAUCUUGAAGUUCCGGACGAGGAUUACUAAUUGCAAUUAUUUUGGCGUGUGAUUUAUUCAAUCAAUAUUGUAUGCAUCAAUAUUUUUGUGUUUUAUUUAGGCCACACUUUUCUCUCCGCGACCGCGCAGGUUGCCUAUCAAGCAGUUCACGGUUGUUGCUCGCCGCUCAUCGUUUUGUUUUAAGAUGAUUAAAUAGCAAUUUUUAAGGAAAUUGUAUGCCUUACAAAAAAAGUGUAAAAUAAAGUUAUUUAGGGUGCAAAAAGAGGGUUGGUGGGGUAGCACCCUUAAAUUGCUUUGGCUAUCAAAGGCAGUUUGAGACGAGUCUUUAGAUGUGCGGUUUUUGAAAAUCUGAUCAUCAGAAUCUGAGAUUCGGAGUGUAAACCAUUUUUGAAACUCUGAAACAGCACCACUUUGUGGGCAAUUCCCGGAUUGAUUUGUAUUAUAAAGCAGUACAGUAAAUGAGACUUUUCAAAGUUUUAUCCGCGUAUUCAAAAACUUAGUCAAUUCAACACAAAAUAACAGUAAUAUUAAAGAAAGAAACAUAAUUGUAUACAUUCAAAUGGAUUUGCGAAUAUAAGUGUGCAUGUUUUGUUGCAUAGCUGCCCUGAAAACGAGAAAUUCAUCAAAACUAUCCACGGAUCUCCGCUGGAAGUCUUAAGAGAUUAAACAUGAAGAUCUGGGGAUUAAUAUUAGCCGCCGUAAACACCUGAGAGGUUCCUCUCUUGAGCGUGUACCAUGGCCAUGAAUUUCCCCAACGAGCCGGAAAAAAAUGGGAAAGGCGACGCACAAAUUUGCAACACUGCAGCAAAUAAAUAGAAAAAAGUCUGGAACCGCGGCCUUGCUGACUAAGCGACGCGACUCCUUCCAUCGCUCGAAUCAACCGCUUCUGUGCCACAAACACCUCUUCCCUCUCUCUAAGACAGGAGCCCCCUCCCCCCCAAAUUAAAUUGGCACACUGGAGGUGAGAAUAAGGCUCAUUGUAUGAUUUUUAAUAACUUAAAUAAACAGUUAAGGUUACAAUAUUUUGAAUUUUUGUAAAAAUAUAAUUUCUCAAACAAUGAGAACUAAUAAAUAUUAUAAGUAAUAUUUAAAAGUGGAUUCCCCAGAUGUACCGGCCGGAAAAAUUUCCGGUUCACUCUACCGCAAAAUAACAUUGUUGUUUAUUCCCACAUUUAGUCCAAUAACAUGAUAAUAAUUAUGCGGUGACAAUUUCGGUAUAAAAGAGGACGCGCUUUCGCAUUUGCCAUCCGAUUUGCACAAACUGAAACCAUGAAAUACGUGCUGGUCGGCCUUGUUGCUUGCAUGGUGCUGGUCGGAGCGACGGCCCAAGGCUUUACCGGAAACUGCCCCAAAGUCUGCAAUGAAGUAUACAGACCAGUUUGCGGCAAGAACAGCAAGGGCGUAACGCGCAUCUUUUCCAACGAGUGCCAAAUGAGGCUCGAAAACUGCAAAUAUGAUUUCGUCAAGCUGAAAAAUAGUAAAUGUUAACAACACAUAUUGAAGUUCCGGACGAGGAUUACUAAUUGCAUUUAUUUUGGCGUGUGAUUUAUUCAAUAAAGAGAUGCAAAUUAUA